UACAGAGGGUGCGAGCGUUGUUCGGAAUUAUUGGGCGUAAAGGGCGCGUAGGCGGUGCGGUAAGUCACCUGUGAAAUCUCCUGGCUCAACUGGGAGCUUGCAGGCGAAACUGCCGUGCUGGAGUGUGGGAGAGGUGCGUGGAAUUCCUGGUGUAGCGGUGAAAUGCGCAGAUAUCGGGAAGAACACCCGUGGCGAAGGCGGUUCUCUGGGACGGUACUGACGCUGAGACGCGAAAGCGUGGGGAGCGAACAGG
rnacentral:rRNA from 1 species